UACGGGGGGGGCAAGCGUUGUUCGGAAUUACUGGGCGUAAAGGGUGCGUAGGCGGGUCUUUUAAGUCAGGGGUGAAAUCCUGGAGCUCAACUCCAGAACUGCCUUUGAUACUGAAGAUCUUGAGUUCGGGAGAGGUGAGUGGAACUGCGAGUGUAGAGGUGAAAUUCGUAGAUAUUCGCAAGAACACCUGUGGCGAAGGCGGCUUUCUGGGCCUUACCUGACGCUGAGACGCGAAAGCGUGGGGAGCGAACCGG
rnacentral:rRNA from 1 species